GGUGUUUUUGGGGUUAUUUUUGGGGUAUUUUUGGGGUGGUUUUGGAGUGUUUUCUAGGUGGUUUUGGGGAGGUUUUGGGGCUAUUUUUGGGGUGGUUUUGGGGUGUUUUUCAGGUGUUUCUGGGGUGUUUUUGGGGCUCUCACCGCGGCUCUGAGGCUCCAGCUCCAGCAGCUCCCGGCACAUCCUCACCUGCUCCUGCAGCACCUGAGCCUCGGCCACGCCCAGCUCCGGCC